GAUUUCUGAUGAUAUAGAUUAAUUGCUUUAAAUGUCAAAAUUACAAGUACAAACACCAUUUAGCUUUUUUAACAAAACCCUCAUUUCCUCCCAUUUCUCACUGCCUCUCCUCUGUCUGAUCACAGUGUCACACACACAGUUAAUCCACAGCAUUGUUAACCUCUGUCAUGUAUCAUAACUCAGCUGUCUGUCCUACAGUAGAAGUUAAUCUGCUCCUUGUGUGUCUCUGCUCUCCCCUCCAGCUGGCCCCAUGGUCAGGCCCUCAGUUUCUCUGCUUCCCCCCUCCUCUCAGCAGCUCUCUGGGGGCUCGGCCACGCUGGCCUGCCUGCUGACCGGCUACUCUCCUCAGGGAGCCGUGGUGAGCUGGGAGGUGGACGGUAGAGAGGUGACAGAGGGGGUCCUGAGCAGCUCAGAGGAGGAGAAGAGCGGACGCUACAGCAGUAGCAGCAUCCUGAGCCUGAGCCAGGAGCGCUGGAUGGAAGGAGAGCUGUACUCCUGCAAGGUCCUCCAUCAGGACCACAGCCAGACCAAGUCCCUCCACAGGAGCCAGUUGGAUAGAUGCUUGUUCACAGUGCAGGAGGUUUUUGUACGGCCACUUAAUGAGUUUGUAUCACUGUGGUGGACUUUUGGUGGAGGAACCAAACUCAUCAUUAACUCUGGCCCCAUGGUCAGGCCCUCAGUCUCUCUGCUUCCCCCCUCCUCUCAGCAGCUCUCUGGGGGCUCGGCCACGCUGGCCUGCCUGCUGACCGGCUACUCUCCUCAGGGAGCCGUGGUGAGCUGGGAGGUGGACGGUAGAGAGGUGACAGAGGGGGUCCUGAGCAGCUCAGAGGAGGAGAAGAGCGGACGCUACAGCAGUAGCAGCAUCCUGAGCCUGAGCCAGGAGCGCUGGAUGGAAGGAGAGGUGUACUCCUGCAAAGUCCUCCAUCAUGACCACAGCCAGACCAAGUCCCUCCACAGGAGCCAGUGUAAGGGCUAGAGGGGCUGGCUGAAGCCCAGAACAGGAGCUGUGUCAGGGGGGAGCAGGAGGAACACACCUGCUCAUCUGAUCAAUAUGAGUUUUAAUGUCUGUAGAGUAAACUGAAGCUUUGUGUGACAAAGAACAACAACAACUUAGAGAGUAAUGUGUGUAGCUCAGCAGCUAGAUGUGAGUGUGCUUAAUAACUGUCCUGUUGAUGAUUGAUGUUUUUGCUAAUAAAGCUUGCACUGAUGAAAGAAAACAUUAUAAA